rnacentral:rRNA from 1 species
GACGAACGCUGGCGGCGUGCUUAACACAUGCAAGUCGAACGAAGAGCGAUGGAAGCUUGCUUCUAUCAAUCUUAGUGGCGAACGGGUGAGUAACGCGUAAUCAACCUGCCCUUCAGAGGGGGACAACAGUUGGAAACGACUGCUAAUGCCGCAUACGAUCUGACCUCGGCAUCGAGGAUAGAUGAAAGGUGGCCUCUAUUUAUAAGCUAUCACUGAAGGAGGGGAUUGCGUCUGAUUAGCUAGUUGGAGGGGUAACGGCCCACCAAGGCGAUGAUCAGUAGCCGGUCUGAGAGGAUGAACGGCCACAUUGGGACGGAGACACGGCCCAGACUCCUACGGGAGGCAGCAGUGGGGAAUCUUCCGCAAUGGACGAAAGUCUGACGGAGCAACGCCGCGUGAGUGAUGACGGCCUUCGGGUUGUAAAGCUCUGUUAAUCGGGACGAAAGGCCUUCUUGCGAAUAGUUAGAAGGAUUGACGGUACCGGAAUAGAAAGCCACGGCUAACUACGUG